rnacentral:rRNA from 1 species
CCUACGGGUGGCAGCAGUGAGGAAUAUUGGUCAAUGGGCGGGAGCCUGAACCAGCCAAGUCGCGUGAGGGAAGACGGUCCUAUGGAUUGUAAACCUCUUUAGGCGGGGAGCAAUGCCGGGCACGCGUGCCCGGAGGGAGAGUACCCGCAGAAUAAGCAUAGGCUAACUCCGUGCCAGCAGCCGCGGUAAUACGGAGGAUGCGAGCGUUAUCCGGAUUUAUGGGGGUUAAAGGGGUCGUAGGCGGAUUUUUAAGCCAGCGGUAAAAUGUCCGGGCUCAACCCGGGCCGGCCGUUGAAACUGGGGAUCUUGAGUGGGCGAGAAGUAUGCGGAAUGCGUGGGGUAGCGGUGAAAUGCAUAGAUAUCACGCAGAACUCCGAUUGCGAAGGCAGCAUACCGGCGCCCGACUGACGCUGAGGCACGAAAGCGUGGGGAUCGAACAGGAUUAGAUACCCCAGUAGUC